GACGAACGCUGGCGGCGUGCCUAAUACAUGCAAGUCGAGCGGUUGAAGCCUUCGGGCAGAGAUAGCGGCGGACGGGUGAGUAACACGUAGGUAACCUGCCUAACAGACUGGGAUAACUACCGGAAACGGUAGCUAAGACCGGAUACGUCAACUUGAGGGCAUCCUGGAGUUGAGAAAAGCGGAGUAAUCUGCUACUGAUAGAUGGACCUGCGGCGCAUUAGCUAGUUGGUGAGGUAGAGGCUCACCAAGGCGACGAUGCGUAGCCGACCUGAGAGGGUGAACGGCCACACUGGGACUGAGACACGGCCCAGACUCCUACGGGAGGCAG
rnacentral:rRNA from 1 species